UGUAAAUAUAUAAUGUGAUAUAGUAUCAAAUGCUAUGGAAUUCAAAAAGGGAUAAGGAAUCUCUGGAAAAAGUAGGAAUGUUUUGGACUGUUUAGUAGAGGUCAGUCCCUUAUUGAAGAGGAGAAUCUUGGCAGUGGUGUAGAUAUGGCAUGUUAUCCAAGUAGGUAACAAGAUAGUGUGCCAAAAGCCUUAAAUCAAAAGCAUGUCUAAUAUGUGAAGAGCUCCAUGUCCUGUUGUAGGGAUAGAAUGGGACCAUGCAUGACGUUAUAUACUUUUCCCAGGCUGUUUAAUGGAAAGGGCUCACUGAGAAUAAAUGUCAAUGUAGUACAGCUGGUUUUAAAGGACACUCUAAUUUCUGGUUAUAUGGGACUUGUUUUUUUUCCCCAUAAUCUUAUAGUUAACUAUUAAGUUGCAUGGACUUGAGUCUUUUCAUUAAUAUGACCUAUAGUACCCAGAAGUCUCCCAUCAGCUUCAUUCAUCACAAAAUCAUUUCCCUGCCAGUGAGCCUUAAAAGGCAAACUGUAAUUUUGGACAAGUAUUACUACUUGAAAAUGAGAUGCCCCUCCCUGGGUGACAUGUUUGAAUAUUCGGUAGCCAGAUGGAGGAGCUCUUUUGGGAGAUUGUGGACCUUUGAAGAACUGGGACGAGCUGGAGGUACUAGGUGUCUGAGAGGUUGGCCUUGAGGCUUACAAUCUGACCUCACUAUAGGCCUAGUUGCUCCCUCUGCUUCCUGAUUGUUGCCAUGAUUCAUUGAGCAGCAUGUACUUCGAGCACCACAGAGUUCUCCCUGAUAUCUUCUCAAACCAUCAUGCAAGAUAAUGGCUCUCUUAAGUUUUGUCUUGCCCUGUAUUUACUUACUACUAUAUUCCCUUCACUCUCAAAUAUGUGUCAGUGUGCUGCGCUGUGCAGUCAUUUGAGGUAAAAUUGUUCCCGUGAUAUUCAGAAAAAGUCAUUUGCUAUCACUGACUGAAGCUCCCGCCCUAGCCCUUCUUUUGAUACAGGGCCAAUCCUGCAGGGUCUGGGAGGGCGUACACCUGGGAACACUGCAGAAAUGCAUGUCUGAAGCAAGGGAGGAAUUCCACUUUGCCCUCCCUCCAAAUUCUUCCUGCUGGAAUACUGCUUCUCCUUUCAACUCUGGUGUCACAUUCUGUUCAUCCUCCUUGCCCUGUGACCACACUCCUGUCUCCGCAUUGCUAUUUCUUCUGCAGAAUGAUGGAUGAGACUGUAUUGUCUUAAACCUCCAAGGUCCCAGGUAUUCAUUAUCUCAGCAGUUUGGAGGUGAGCCUGUCUUUGGCCUCUGUGUUGGGAUUGAGUUGAAAUGUUCUUCCUGGAAGCAAACAACAGAGCACAGCAUUCCUCACAGAGCCAGCUCUGAGGACUCCUUCCUAUAGAGCUCUAAUGAGAUGUAAAUCACUCUCAGCCCUUUUCCCUCUGCCACCAGCCUCCUUGUUUACAGAUCAGGAGUCUGGCCAGUUUCCCUGAGUUCUAGAAACAUACUCCUCAGGCCCUGCCAAAUAGGUAUUAAGGAGCCUAUAAAUAACCACCAACCCUCACAACUCUGCAGUAACAGAGGCGGCUGCCUCAGACAAACAAUUUGGCAGUUCAUAGCCAGCUCAGAUGGUUAUUGAGGAGUGAAGCCUCCAUGAUGCACUUGAAAAGGGAUGUAGUAAUGACUUAUUUUAUUUAAGAAGGAUCCAAAGUUAGCCUACCUUCCCUCCUACUUGUUUUAACCCUAGAAUUUAUUUUAUUUUAUUUUAUUUUACUUUAUUUUUUUUUUAUUAUUUAUUUACUGGGUAUAAGGGCAUGGUUAGAUCUCUGAUCUUAUGAUCUUAAGUGAUAUUCCAGAAAGGAAGAGGAAAUAUUUUUGGGACCUGAACUGAGAGGUAUGUUGACAUUUCUUAGGAGUUUCGUGAAGAUGGUGUCCCAUUUAAGCUUUGUAUGUUGAAUGAUCCCCAAGCUGACUUUUUCCCCCUUGUACCCUGACUUCUACUUCCCUUUAAAGAAAGGAAAUUAUAAACUACUAGUGCCAAGGGGUAGGAUCAGCGUGGAUUUCCAUGAAUGCCUUUUCCAUUAUGUUUUAAGAGUCCUCUGACAUUGUUUAGUUUCAGAUUUUGAGGACAUUAUUAUUAAGGACUUUGAAUGCUCUUAUUGUGCUCCUAGCAAGCAGUUUCUGCUUACUCAUAGAAAUGAAUGCAAGACUUCAUAGAUGAUGGCUAUAAUUAUUAAUUUACAUAUCAGAAACUGAAUUAGGACCAUAGCCUCACCAAAUAACAGUAUGCUUCCUCCUCCCAGGUGAAAAGUCUACCAUCAGGAAUUCCUCAGAAAUUGCCAUUUGACCUGGGGUAGGAUAGAUGUGUUCUACACAAUAUCCUACAUGACCCUUUGACAACAGGUCAGAUAUAUACCUGGCACUGUUAUCAUCACCAACUUAGGAGAAGGUUAAAAACAGGGGUUCAGAAAAGUCACAUUUUUAUUCUAAACCACAAAGCUGCAGCAGGAAUUCGUCCCUGGAUUAUAUCUGCACCAAUGCCUUGAGAAAGGCCCAUGUCAGUUAAUACUGUGGGCCUCCAAAUAGCAUCAAAUCUUUUAUUUUCUUUCAAACUUGAUAUCCAGGCAGGAACCUUCAACACCAAAUAAUGUAGGGAAGGAUAUAAAAACAAACAACCCACCCUAUAAUUAAGUCCUCAAAUUUUCCAUUUGAAGACUCAAUAAUGGUAUGCUGUAAUUAUAAAAAUAUCAAUCUAUGAUCACAACUAUGAAAUUAGCAGUUAUUAAAGAAUUCACGCUAGCUGCAAACAUCUCUCCUGGUUACAGGAGCGUCCCCACCACACAUACACACACACUUUACGCUCCCCCUGUUUUUCCAAGCCUGUAUAAAAAGAGAUUUGCAUGGGAAAUGAUGUAUCCUAUUACGUUGUGAUCAUUACAGAGCCAGAUGACAAGUGGUCUGUUUUUGUCAACGCACUUUCCCACCUAAAUGUCAAUCUCCAAAGACAAACUGGGUCUAAACACAUGUACUGGUACAAAACACAGGCCUUCGUUCAUGAAAACAAGGACUAGUUUAUGAUAAGCAAGUGUACAUGCAUAUUUGAUUCUUGUAUGCACAACCAACAAGAAGGCUGGAGACAUACAUUUAAAUACUUGAGCAAGUGGUUUAUAUGUGCUGUCUUGGCCUAAUGUAUCACAGAGUUAAUUGUAAGAACUCUUAAUAUCAUCCCAGGCAGACAUUUUCCUUAUGAGUGAGCUUGCAGGUGUUGAGUCAAAUGGAAUGGCCUAGGGAUUAAGAACAUUGAUUCUUACUUUGGUUUGAUGUGUUAGCAGAAAUCCUUGUUCCCACUGACUGAAUUAUAGUCACACUGGCCUGAAGAAAAAGAGAUAUUCCCUGACUGAAUCCAUUUGUCCAAGGGAACAAUGCAAACUCUAUCCCAAAUUCUGAGUUUUGUCAAAUCCUAACACAUUGAUUUUUUUUUCUUGCACCUUGAAAGACAGCAUGCCUUCUGAAAGGCUUGGUUUAUAUACAGUUCACUCUCUGACAAACAGCUUGGUCUGGCUGAAUCUAAAGAUCCUUUGAUAUCUGCACAAAAGUAGGCCCUGAGGGAUCUGACCUCUUCUUACAAUCUAGUGCCUCCCUCCAUCUAGCUUUGUCUUGACUAUUGAGGAACUUUCUUCUAUUUCUCACUUAAAUAUUUCUAUGCUUUCUGUCUAAAUGUUGCUAAUGACGUAAAGACAGAGCUACAAAAGAGAAGUAAGUGCAGGCCUUCUUUUCUUCUAUCCUUUGUUAGUAUCUGAAACAUCCUCAGUGGAGAGAAAGACAACACAUGACUCUAAAGUUUCCGGGAAUAUGUAAUGCUCCAGUUUAUUUCUAGCUUGGUUAUGAAGCCAUUACUAUGAACUGACUGGGAGGACUAGGAGGCUAAUAAUUCUGCUCUUGUUGAAAUUAAGCCCUUUCAUAGGGCUUAAUAAACCAGUAAUAUAUGUAAUACUAGUUUUGGAAGUAGGUGAGAUUUCAAGUGGUUUUGGACAUGUUUACCCUGUCUGCUUCCUACUAUCCUCAAGUCCAAUCUUGUUAAAAAGCAAAAGCAGAUGCCAUUGUGGGGUAGGAUUGGGGGAGGGGUUGCCAUUCAGUUGGUGUAGUACUGUCUGACCAUGCACAAAGCCCUAGGUUCAAUCCCCAGAGCUACAUAAACCACGCAUUGCUACGCAUAUCUGUAAUCCCAGCACUCUGGAGAUAGAGGCUACCUUGUUACAUACUAAUCUUCAAUCCACCCUGAGUUGCAUGAGACACUGAAAAAAUAUAAAAUAAAAAGGUAAGAAAACAUUUAUUUACUCAAGCCUCUGACUUUUUUCUUUCUCCAACACUACUCCAUAGCAAAUUUGUUAAUUCUAUUUCCCAUCUCUCAGAUCUAUCUCCUUAUUCUAUCUUCAAUCAACUGCUAUCAUUGCUAUGUGAAUUUUAGCAGAUAUUCACUUUCCUUAUUGUUUCCCUCUACAAUCCGGGGAGAGGGUGCCGAUUAAUUGUUUUUGUUUUAAAUGAAAUGGUGGACCCCACUCUGAAAAGCUUAGACCUUAUUUCUAAUACUUUUGUACUGAAUUCCAGAUACCCUUCCUCUGGUGACACUGCUUCUGCACAGGGGAUCCCUGAAAUCCUUACAUUCUCUGUUGUGAUACGCCAUCUAUCUCAGUGUUUCUCCAGUAAUCCAUUCUCUGUCAGUUGAGUUAAUAUGGAGAGGAAGCUCUGUUGGCUACACUGUGUCAAUGGACAAGAUUAGUGACUAUGAAGACAAAAGCUGGCUGCUUUUUCUGCGCGAAGUUUCUGUCUGUCUGAGGUGGGCUGCUGUGAAGUCUCGGUGAGGCCUGCGCACCGCAGCCAUGACGGAGGCUGAUGUGAACCCAAAGGCCUAUCCCCUCGCAGAUGCCCACCUCACCAAGAAGCUGCUGGACCUUGUUCAGUAGUUGUGUAGCAGCAGACGCUGAGCCCUUGGAGAUCAUCCUGCACCUCCCUCUGCUGUGUGAAGACAAGAAUGUCCCCUAUGUAUUUGUACGCUCCAAGCAGGCUUUAGGACGGGCCUGUGGAGUCUCCAGGCCGGUCAUCGCCUGUUCUGUAACCAUCAAAGAAGGCUCUCAACUAAAGCAGCAGAUCCAAUCCAUUCAGCAGUCUAUUGAGCGGCUCCUGGUGUAGGCCGUGGCCUCUGCCCUCUCCUGUCUCCUCACACCCUGAGUUUGUGUAUCAUGUCUGUUAGCGUGUACUGUUUUCAGCCAGUUUCUAUUAUAUUGUGCUACAUCUGAUUUUGUAUUUUUAUCUUUGUCUGAACAGGGUUGUUUUUCACCAUCUCCUUGUCCUGUUCUACUAUUUUUUAGUUUCCCUUUUUAAUUGAAAUGAUAGCUAAGACAGGUGAAAGGCAGAAUGUCACCAUUUAGCAAUAAGAAGAACCAGGAGAAACUUACGCCAGGGAUAGUAGAUAUUUACUGGUCCCUUGUGCUUUUGAUGUAAGAUCUCUCUUAAAUGCUACUGUGACUGAGGAACUUUCUUUGGGUAGCAGUCCCUCCCACCCCUUAUCAUUUGAAAAAAAUUGAUAAUGUUAGGCCUACUGUCCAGGUGCCAUUUAUUAAUGUCCUAUGUGUUUUUGACGUGUGUAACCUUAUAUUCUCCCAUAUCUGAGGCAAUAACAGCUCAAAGGGAUUCUGGGGAAAUCAUGGCUGUUUGGCUGGAGCGUACAGCAGAGACAGUGCUAGCAGGAAACAUCCUCUCCUUGGUACAGGGGGAUUUCUUGUGGAGCCCUCAUCCUCCUCCUCCCGCAACAUGGUCAGGUGUAUUCUCCCUCCAUGAAGAAAGUGAUUACAUGUUCACUGUCGAGCAGCCUAAUAAAUAUGUUGAUAUUUCGUUUUAAAAAAAAAAAGAAAAAAAAAGACAAAA
rnacentral:sRNA from 1 species